CUACGAUCAAAGUUUAUUACAUAAUUUUAGUAAUUGCCGAAUUUACUAUAGUAGGUGCAGUUAUAAAUACAGAAAGUUUAUGCAUGUUACGACUUUAAGGUCUGGAGCUGCUGUCUUUGGCGUGUACCCGGAAUUUAAUCGAUACCACGGAGUCGAUCCUGGCGUAACGAAUUAUAAUGAAUGGUUCCGCUGUAUGGAGUCCCUGCACCUGACCAAUUCCAAGCUGACUAGGCCAAGACUGUUUAAGGGCAAUUUUCGUCUAAAAACAAUCAUUUUUCUCGUGAGUUAGCUGUAGCCACUUGAAUAGACUUAGCAUUGGCUUUGGAAUCUAUUUGCGGAUGUGAUCCUAUGUUACUGGAAGGAAAAGACCAUCUUGGAUAUGAAAACUAUCUACAAAUGCCAUGCUAUGCUACUGGAAAGAAUGGUAAUCCUGGAGACAGGUCAUAAAGGUUGUCUGGACAAAGCAGAAACUCCAAAAUCACUAUUCCGCAUUAUGAGGCCUCAUAAACCUGUUUUAAAACUGGAAUAUUAAACAUCUGGAUAAAUAAAAAUGAAGAAUGUAUUUAAUUGCAUAUGCACCGAAGGAAAUCCACAUAAUCCAGAGGACCGAAACAGCGACAUAAAAUUCACAACUGUUUCUCCUUCUGUUGCAUCAAAUUUAUGUGAAACGAUCGGCUCUGUUUAGCAUUAUCAUGAAAAAAAUUUAGAGACUGGCGAUAUUUUAUGAGCAAUGCUUCAGUAGUGAUGUGAAUACAACCGUGGAAAAGAAUGUAUCCUGUUAAUAAUUCUGAGCCAAAGAUUGUGGACCGCUUUUCAAUUGUGGAUGAUUGCAACUGCACAAGCGUGUGAUUCGUAUCAUUUUUCUCACGCGCAAACAUAGCAUCAAAUAACGAUGUGCCGAUUAUGUACUACACAGCUGUGGCCCUGUUAAGAAGCAGAUUAUCGUAUCGUAAAUCAUUUACGUUAUCAGUGCGGACUA